AGAAAAUUUUUAGGGAAAUGGCACUAAAUGGUAUGACACUAAAAUGGUAGAUGCAUGUAAUUAUACGUUUGUCCAAACUCAGAAUAUAUAACACCAAGAGUGAUCUCUAAUAUGAACUAUGGAUUUUGGGUGAUAAUGAUGAGCAUUCAUUAGCUGUAACAAUGAUUUUGUUGUGGGGAGGUUGUGUGGAAGGGGAAGUGGGUAUAGUGUAACUCUCUGGACUUUCCAUUCAAUUUUGCUAUGGACCUAAAACUGCUCUAAAAAUUAAAGUCUAUUA